AUAGAGGGUGGUGGAGGAGAGAAUGUCUGACUAUUUUGUGAGACUAUAACAAAAAACACUAUUUUAACCAUGAACAAAGUAUCACAGGAUAGUCAGGUUUGGAGGAGAGAUGGAGAAAACAUUGUAGAAUCUCCAUGUGGAAGGAGAAAUGUGGAGGAGAAAGAUGGAGGGAGAUAUGAAGGGAUAACUAAAACUUUCUCUUCCUUGCAGGUUGAAUUGAGUGAAGCAAGAGUGGAAGUAGAGAGGCUGAGAGACAGACUGGGACAACUUGGUGAUUUGAAGGGACAAGUGAAUGCACUGAGAGAAGGUGAAGGUGGAGGGCAGUUCCUACCUGUCGUAUGUGUCUCAGGUGUCGUCGUCAAUCUUGGACUUGAUCUUCCAGAUACAAGACGAGAACACAAGCAAGAGGAAGGAGGAGGAGGAAGAGGAGAGGAAGAGAUCGGACAGCCUUCACCAGCAGCUGACAGAGACCCAACACAAGCUGGCAGACACUCAACACAAGCUGGCAGACACACACAGACUGGCUGAUGUUUAUAAAGGCCAGUUGGAAGAUGCUCACAGAGAGAUUGAAAUAUAUAUGGACCAAUUGCAUAGACAAGAACAAAGCCUACAGCAAGCAGCAACGGAAGCAGAGGAGGCAAGACAGAAGAUGGAGGAGGAGAGGAAGAAGGAGGUGGAGGAGAUGGAGGAAAGGUGGAGAGAGAAGAUGAAGCAAGCUACUCUAGAACAUGAACUGGAGAUGGAAGAGUUAAGACAGCAGUUAGGAACAGUGAAGGAGACACUGGUGGCCGGCCUAGAGGGAAGAGUGUAGGAGAAAGUAAGGGAGCAACUUCAGCAAGAAAAAGAAAGAAUUGUAAAGAUUUUGGAAACAAGUUUUGUAGAGAGGGAAAGAAAUGCACUGGAAAUUUUGAAGGCAGACCUGCUGGAAAGGUUGAGGCAGGAGAAGGAGGAAACAGUGGAAGAAGAAGGGAACAAGAUCAGAGCUGAGUGGAAGAAAGAUUUGCAUAGGAAAGAAGAAGAAAAGAAGAGAGAAAGACAAGAAUUUCUGAAGAAUGAGAGGAGACACUGGGAGAAGGAGAAGGAAGAGGAAGUGCAGAGGAAACUUGCUCUUGUGGUGGAGGAAGGCCGAAGGGAACUGGAGGAGGAGAGAAAGAGACACAGGCUGGAGGUUGAAAACAUAAGGUCUAGAUUUAGAAUGAUGACAACGAUGACAGCCACCACCAGCACCUCCCCCACUAGCCUGCCUUUCUCUUCAAGUCCCAGCGAGGAGCACCCGCCCUCCUCCCCACCCUCCUCUCUCAACAGAUGGGAGGGCCUGGACAGACUGAGAGAGGAACUGAUGAAAGAGAGAGAGAUAAAGAUUGAAGAGAGAAUUGCAAGUGUAAGAGAGGAAGAAAGGAGGAAAUUAGAUGACGAAAAACAGAUGGAGUUUGCAGAAGCAGUGAAAGCUUUGGCGCAGGACAAGGAAAGGGUUAUUGAAGAUUUGAAGAUUAGGAUUCAGCUUCUAACAGAUGAAUGUGACAGAAGAAGAGGAGGAGGAGGAGGAAGGGAAAAAUGUUGGAGGACAGAUAUUGCAAGAAAAUGUUGAAUUGAAGAAUCAGAUCACCUCACUGCAGAAAAAAGUCAGAAAUUUGGAAACUGAACUGGCAAGAGCAAAACGGUUUUCAUUUGUGACGCAGCAGAGCACCACCACCACCACUGCCACCACCGCCACCGCUGCUGCUGCUGCCACCGACAUGACGGCCUCCACAGCCUCAACGACUGUUAAUGAAGACACAAGAGAGAAUUUGCCACACCAAGCCAGCCCACUCCUGUCUCAUGGUACCAUCGCCUUUAAUUCCUGCCAGACUGGGGACACUGUGUUGGUGCUUUAGGGUGCACUACAUGGCCACUACAAAGUGUUGCAGGAAGGUGUCUCCUCACAACUCUUGCAUUUCCUACACUCUGAUGCUUACAACUUGCUGGGAUUCACCAAAGACACCACGCGGCUCAUGAAAAGAAUAAAUGAACACGCUGUGGCGGCGCCCACGCCACGCCGCGGCCUGCUCACUCUCUGCUCCUUGAAGAGCGGCGGGGAGCUGGUGCUACCUACAUUCUGUCUGAGGAGCGUUCAUGGGUUGUGUUGGUGACUAAAAGUGAGCGCCGCUGCUCUCCCUCCUGCUGCCCCUGCCUCUGCUGUUGCCUGUCACGAAUGUUUGCUUAGUUUGCUGCAGUGCCAUUGGCGGCAAACUGCUGGUGUGGUGAGCAGCGAUUGGUGUUCAGUUGUUGGCAGAAAGUUUCCUUAGUGAGGCGCGUGUCGAGGGUCAGUGUGACGCCACGCUGCGGAGUGACGUGUUCUUUUCUGCCCUCACACAAGUGUUUCUCCCUCAAAAACUGUAUUGGAUUGUUUUUCCUUAUAAUCUCUCUCUCUCUCUCUCUCUCUCUCUCUCUCUCUCUCUCUCUCUCUCUCUCUCUCUCUCUCUCUCUCUCUCUCUCUCUCUCUCUCUCUCUCAUUACUCGUAGCAAUAAUUUCAAGUUCAUCCAGUGAGACCCUAAGUAUGUUGGGCAAGUCUUUCACCAACUACAUCAUAUUUUUCGGUUUCUUUUGUGCAUUAGGAGUGAUGGAAUUGGUUCAGUCAUAUUCCAGUUAAUUUUUUCAGUAUUACGAAUUGUUCAGGUGGUCGAAUGUUCCAGCUAUCGGUUUACUCCAGCCACCCUCACUGAGCAGAUAUGAAAACAAGAGCCGCUGAGAGGUUUGAACUAUUCGUCUGCUGCUUUUAGUGUUUGCGGUGCUGCUCCAAGUUGUUCUCUUCGCUUAUUCCAAGGCCAUCAGUCGUGGCAAGAACCAGUAAAAUCAUACAACUUCAGGCAUUUAAGUACUUCAACAACUCGAUUACUCUUUUUACUGGCAGUGGUAGUGUUCCAGAGAGAGAGAGAGAGAGAGAGAGAGAGAGAGAGAGAGAGAGAGAAUUAUUGUUAUUAUUAUUAUUAUUAUUAUUAUUGUUAUUAUUAUUAUUUAAUAGAAAAAAAUACGUAGAUUUGUUGUUUACAUGAAUACAUUAAAAAAAUACUUUAAUUAUUUAAUAGAAAUAAAAAAAAUACGUAGAUUUGUUGUUUACAUGAAUACAUUAAAAAAAAACUUUACUUACCCUAUUUUAUAAUACACAUUUCAUACAAAAAACAGACCAUUGUGUUCACCUGCACCACGACACACUACCAAGCAUGAGAAGCCAAAACUAAAAAAAAUAAAUAAAUAAAUAAAUAAAUAAAUAACUGCUGGUGUUAAAAUAUUUCAUUCAAAAACUCGAUAACUGUUCUUGAUGUCAGUGGCGUUUGAAAAAAAAAUAUAUUUCUCUUACGCCACAACAUUCUAUUAAAGUCGAAGGCAGGAACCACAACAGUAAAAACUGACUGUAGACAUGAGAACAACUCCAAGAACUCGAAUACUUCUUUUAAUGUCAGUAGUGUUUGAAGAAUGCAUGCUUCACCUCCACAGCCACAUUUCAUUAACCUCGCAGGGGAAAAAAAAGACAAUUUCUGGAACUCAUUACUCUUUUUGUCAUUAGCGACUAAGAAAAUAAUCGACAACACUUACACUGCGUCCUAUCAAGGUUGGUGGAGAAGCCAUUGGACUAAAGAAAACCAAGAGUCCACUUCAUUACACCUCUCCAGUCAGUGAUACCUUUGGAAAUUCUCAACUUUUCACCACAAAACGUUCCAUCAAGAAGCAGUUGGCCAAAAUAAUAAUGUCAGAAGUAAGACAAAGCUUUGAAGAAAGAACAUCUGUCAUAAAGUGUUACUGGAGGCACGAAAAUGUCAAAGAAGUGCAAAGACAAUUCAGAAGACACUUUGACAGGGAUCCACCAAGCGUGGCUUCCUUCAGUUUGAGUGAGGCACGCCUCUUCCUGCGGCACUUACAGAGAGCCUGACUGCUGAACGAGUGGCCAGUGGCGGUGCGUGUGUGUGUUUGUGCAAGAGGAGUACUCACCUGGAGA